CCUACGGGUGGCAGCAGUGAGGAAUAUUGGUCAAUGGCCGGAAGGCUGAACCAGCCAUGCCGCGUGAAGGUCAGUGCCCUAUGGGCGUUAAACUUCUUUUGUUCGGGAGAAAUAAUGGUCACGUGUGGCCAGACGAGAGUACCGUGCGAAUAAGCAUCGGCUAACUCCGUGCCAGCAGCCGCGGGAAUAAGGGGGGUGCAAGCGUGAUCCGGAUUUAUUGGGGUUAAAGGGGGCGUAGGCUGUGAGGUAAGUCAGCGGUGAAAUGCCCCCGCUCAACGGGGUGAAGUGCCAUUGAUACUGCCUUGCUGGAAUGCGGAAGCCGUGGGAGGAAUGUGCGGUGUAGCGGUGAAAUGCAUAGAUAUCACACAGAACACCGAUUGCGAAGGCAUCUUACGGACCCGCGAUUGACGCUGAUGCACGAAAGCGUGGGUAUCAAACAGGAUUAGAUACCCGGGUAGUC
rnacentral:rRNA from 1 species